rnacentral:lncRNA from 1 species
CAUGAAGCUAAGGGUGGUUAUCUUGACUUUCUCAUCCAAUCACCUCCUCCUCCCAGGUGAUGAGAUUUCAGGUGUCUCCCACCACAUCUGGUCUAUGUGGUAGUGUCUUUGAACCACGAGUUCAUGUGUUCUAGGCAAGCAGUCUUUAAGCUGAGCCAUACUCCCCAGAUCAUUGUAACAGUUUCAUUUACCACUUGAGCUUCCCCUCGCUCCUCAGGUUUGGUGCCCCAGCUUCACCGGGGCUGGAACAUCGACUUUGUCAGCACAGCCUCUGCUUUGUCCAUGGCCUCUGACUCAGGUUGUCACACGCUUCCUUGGACCCCGGUCGCUUGGCCUCCAUCACUUGCUGUGAGAGCUGGAAGACCCUCUUUUAGCUUCUGAAGUCAGAGGAUCCAGUCAGAAGGAGUGAUAUUCUUUGUCAGAGAUUCCAGGCCACCUGCAGUUCAAGCGCAGGCAGAGCUCCCAGGGACUUCCCUCCAAGACUGUGUCUUCCUGUCCUCCAUCCUCAAGGCGGCUGAUUUCCUGGGGAUCAUCAAACACACGUGUGCCAAGAACCUCACACAGACUGUGAGGUCCUUCGAUCUCUCUGGGACAGCCAGAAUUUUGCAGACUGAGAAACAUGUAGAGGAAGCUGGGUCUCUGAAGCUAGUGGAGUUCUGGUAAGAAGACCCGAGAAGGGUGUGGAUCAGAGACUGGGAGCAAUGCAAAUCUGGCAGG